rnacentral:lncRNA from 1 species
UGGACAUUUGUAAUAGUCAAACAAAAAAUUGUUAAAUCAAUGCAAUACCACAUAUCCAAUUAAAAAUUCUUUGUUUACUUUUGAUUAUUUGCUUUGUAACAUGUAAUUAAUAAAUAUGAUAUAUAUAACUUUUGUAGUUUUUUUGGUAGCCCUCCUAUAAGCCAAAGUGAAUCUGUGUGGCCUUUGGUCUUAACAGUUCUAUGCAUCCCUGUUGUAAAGACCCCAAACAAAAAAAUGAAAACCAAGGAAUCUAUAUUAUCCCAGUAGAACAUGAGCACACGACAAAAAGCCUCAUGCAUAGAGGUCACCAACUGCACUGUAAAAAAAAAAAAACUUCAAGAACAUGAGAGAGACAUAAGGAGUGGCAACACCACAGCAGCACUUGUGGCAGAAUGCUAUGCCUCAGAUGUGGCAGUAAACUGGAGAGGAACAAAAAUAAUUAAACAAGCACCAAAUAUGAAACAAGGAUUAAUCCUAGAGGCAUUAGAAAUAGAGAAGAGGAAAAAAAAAUAUUCUAAAUGAAAGAACGUCGG